CGUAGACUCCUACGGGAGGCAGCAGUGGGGAAUAUUGCACAAUGGGCGCAAGCCUGAUGCAGCCAUGCCGCGUGUGUGAAGAAGGCCUUCGGGUUGUAAAGCACUUUCAGUCGUGAGGAAGGUGGUAGUGUUAAUAGCACUAUCAUUUGACGUUAGCGACAGAAGAAGCACCGGCUAACUCCGUGCCAGCAGCCGCGGUAAUACGGAGGGUGCGAGCGUUAAUCGGAAUUACUGGGCGUAAAGCGUGCGCAGGCGGUCUGUUAAGCGAGAUGUGAAAGCCCCGGGCUCAACCUGGGAACUGCAUUUCGAACUGGCAGACUAGAGUCUUGUAGAGGGGGUAGAAUUCCAGGUGUAGCGGUGAAAUGCGUAGAGAUCUGGAGGAAUACCGGUGGCGAAGGCGGCCCCUGGACAAAGACUGACGCUCAGGCACGAAAGCGUGGGGAGCAAACAGGAUUAGAUACCCUGGUAG
rnacentral:rRNA from 1 species